rnacentral:rRNA from 1 species
CAGGCUUAACACAUGCAAGUCGAGGGGCAGCAUGGUCUUAGCUUGCUAAGGCCGAUGGCGACCGGCGCACGGGUGAGUAACACGUAUCCAACCUGCCGUCUACUCUUGGACAGCCUUCUGAAAGGAAGAUUAAUACAAGAUGGCAUCAUGAGUCCGCAUGUUCACAUGAUUAAAGGUAUUCCGGUAGACGAUGGGGAUGCGUUCCAUUAGAUAGUAGGCGGGGUAACGGCCCACCUAGUCUUCGAUGGAUAGGGGUUCUGAGAGGAAGGUCCCCCACAUUGGAACUGAGACACGGUCCAAACUCCUACGGGAGGCAGCAGUGAGGAAUAUUGGUCAAUGGGCGAGAGCCUGAACCAGCCAAGUAGCGUGAAGGAUGACUGCCCUAUGGGUUGUAAACUUCUUUUAUAAAGGAAUAAAGUCGGGUAUGGAUACCCGUUUGCAUGUACUUUAUGAAUAAGGAUCGGCUAACUCCGUGCCAGCAGCCGCGGUAAUACGGAGGAUCCGAGCGUUAUCCGGAUUUAUUGGGUUUAAAGGGAGCGUAGAUGGAUGUUUAAGUCAGUUGUGGAAGUUUGCGGCUCAACCGUAAAAUUGCAGUUGAUACUGGAUAUCUUGAGUGCAGUUGAGGCAGGCGGAAUUCGUGGUGUAGCGGUGAAAUGCUUAGAUAUCACGAAGAACUCCGAUUGCGAAGGCAGCCCUGCUAAGCUGCAACUGACAUUGAGGCUCGAAAGUGUGGGUAUCAAACAGGAUUAGAUACCCUGGUAGUCCACACGGUAAACGAUGAAUACUCGCUGUUUGCGAUAUACAGCAAGCGGCCAAGCGAAAGCGUUAAGUAUUCCACCUGGGGAGUACGCCGGCAACGGUGAAACUCAAAGGAAUUGACGGGGGCCCGCACAAGCGGAGGAACAUGUGGUUUAAUUCGAUGAUACGCGAGGAACCUUACCCGGGCUUAAAUUGCAGAUGAAUUACGGUGAAAGCCGUAAGCCGCAAGGCAUCUGUGAAGGUGCUGCAUGGUUGUCGUCAGCUCGUGCCGUGAGGUGUCGGCUUAAGUGCCAUAACGAGCGCAACCCUUGUUGUCAGUUACUAACAGGUUCCGCUGAGGACUCUGACAAGACUGCCAUCGUAAGAUGUGAGGAAGGUGGGGAUGACGUCAAAUCAGCACGGCCCUUACGUCCGGGGCUACACACGUGUUACAAUGGGGGGUACAGAGGGCCGCUACCACGCGAGUGGAUGCCAAUCCCCAAAACCUCUCUCAGUUCGGACUGGAGUCUGCAACCCGACUCCACGAAGCUGGAUUCGCUAGUAAUCGCGCAUCAGCCACGGCGCGGUGAAUACGUUCCCGGGCCUUGUACACACCGCCCGUCAAGCCAUGGGAGCCGGGGGUACCUGAAGUGCGUAACCGCGAGGAGCGCCCUAGGGUAAAACUGGUGACUGGGGCUAAGU